CGGUGACCUACAAUUCUUUCAAAGAAUUAAAAAAAAAAAAAUUUAACUCAAUUAAUGCAUUUUUUCGCAAGUUAUAGUGUUUCCAGAGUUUCAUACAUGACA